ACUUACUGUCUUUACUUUUUCAAAGUCCUACAAUUCCUUGCUGGAUGGCAUUCUCUUUUUCUCUGUGCCUCAGAUGGCCAAAGUCUGAGAUAUCCAUUGGGAGUUUCUUUUCCCAACUUAUGUAAUGUCUCUCAAGAUCAAGAGCCAUCAUUACCGUGAAUUUCUGCUGAUGAUUAUGGGCAGUUUGGUUGGUGAUAGAGUUUUAGAGAAACAGACUGACAAUGAGAAGCUUGCAAAUUUUCAAUUGCUGUAGGUUUAUAGCUCUGUAGGGAACCUUGAUGGCUCCUAAUCACCGCCUUUACUUUUCAAAGUCCUUUCUUUCCUUUGAAGUAUAUCAAGUGAUAAUUGGAGCAGCAACAGAGUAGUACGAAAGAUUUCAGGAGUUUUCAGAGCUGUUGGUCAUCAAAUUGGUGUUUGUUGUAGUGUCUGCCAUGGAAGAUGUACUAUUCAUGCAGUGAAUCUGCACAGAAUUGUUAGAGUGCAAGUUUUGAGACUGCCAAGCGUACUUGUUGGCUGCUGCCACUUGCUGCAAUUAUUUCAUCAGCUGUGAUGAAGGCUAUUAAGCUCAUUCUGCCUUCUACACUUGUUGGGUUGCUCCUCUCUUCAUGUAGGUUUACGCUCAAAGAUCAACAUUAAACUUGAUAGCUCUUGCUUACUAUCCUUGGUAUACGAUCCCUUGCUGAACCAGAUCCUGUUUCAGUUAGAUCAGAUUCCCUUUUGCUCUCUGCCUCGGAUGGCCAAAGCCUGAGAUCUUCCUUGUCAGCGCGGUGAUUUUAAACUUUCCAACCGAUUCAGCAAUUUGUAGACAUGUUGGUCAUCACUUUUAACUUUUGAUUCAAAAAUUCUGGUAAUUUUAGAUAUGCUUCUCUUCGUUCAUUACUCAAUUUUGCCUUUUAACCACUUUAAUGUCCAAUUUAUUAUGUAUAAAACAAAAGAAAUCUUGUCGCCACAGAGAUAUUUUUGAGGUAACCAAGGAUGAUGUACCGUUCAAGAAAUGAAGUUGUACAAACCUACUUAAGCUAUUUAAGUCUGCUUGUUGCGACUUCAUGUUUUUAAUGAAUCCACCUUGAUAAAGUCUCUUAAGCUUUCUCUGCUUUUAUGACUGUUGGCUGCUUCUUUUUUUUAUGGUAAGUUUCUUGUUUUGGGGCUUUAGUUACAAUGACAGAAAACUUGCAAUUAUCUGAAAAUUUCCAUUAGCUUUAUUCUACCCUGAAUGCCAUCCUGAGCUUGAGUUUUGGUGCUUUGCAGUGAUAUUAGGCACAAAGCUCAACAAGGAACCUCAUUGAUGGCUGUUACUUAUGUCUUUAAUAUCACAAAGCUCAACAGGGAACUGCAUCGACGGCUCUUACUUACUAUCUUUACAUUUUGAAAGUCCUAUGAUUCCUUGCUCAAAAAGAUCUUGCUUCAGUUGGAUAGUAACAUCUAGGAUGGCAUUCUCUUCUGCUAUGUGCCUAGAUGGCCAAAGUUAGAGAUUUUCAUUGGGGGUAUGGUGAUUUUAAACUGUCCAAAUGAUUCAGCGAUUUGUAGUCAUGAUAAUGAGGUGCUGAUUUACAUGUUUUAGAACUCAAUUUGUCAUCUCUCGCAUACUGCUCUGUUGUUCCUCAAUGUGAAAUGUUUUGCAUGUGCUACAAAUUGCCUAUCAUUAUUUUCAA